UACGUAGGGGGCUAGCGUUGUCCGGAAUCAUUGGGCGUAAAGCGCGUGUAGGCGGUCCGGUAAGUCCGCUGUGAAAGUCGGGGGCUCAACCCUCGGAUGCCGGUGGAUACUGUCGGGCUUGAGUACGGAAGAGGCGAGUGGAAUUCCCGGUGUAGCGGUGAAAUGCGCAGAUAUCGGGAGGAACACCAAUGGCGAAGGCAGGUAACUGGACCAUUACUGACACUCAGCUGCGAAAGCUAGGGGAGCAAACAGG
rnacentral:rRNA from 1 species